rnacentral:lncRNA from 1 species
AUAUAUAUAUAGUUGAGCUAGAAUACAAACGGGCUCCGUUGUCAUCUAUUUGUUUUCGAUGAUGGAGCCUCCAAAUUGACGAUUGUAUCGUUGAACGUGAUCUAUACCACUUAAAGUACUUAGAAAUCAAAUUUCAAAUCUUUUCAACAUCAUUUGCCUAAUGAUCAAAGGGUUUCAAAAUUUGUAAUUUUAAUGGUCAAUAUGAGGCGUUUUCUCGUUUAUCGGUGUAAAGAUAUCCAAAUCAAUUGAAUUUUUGUUAGAAAAUUCUUUAAACUAUUUAAAAUAAGAUCUAUACUCUUGAUCUUGACUACAAGACUCAUAUCAUCAUUUUUUAAAGAAUAUUCAUUUUCAGCCGUUCAUUUUUGUGUUCACUCGAUGGAUAAGAGAAUAAUAUCGAAAAUGUGUGAAAUUUGAUUUCUAAACACUGCAAGUGGUAUAGAUCAUGUUCAACGGUGCUGAUCGCCGAUUUGGAGGCUCCAUCAUCGAAAAUAAAUGGAUGGCAACGAAGCACGUUUGUUACCGAUAGUAUUCUAGUUCAACUCUAUAUAUAUAUAUAUAUAUAUAUAGAGUUGGGCUAGAAUACACUCAAAAGCACGCUUUUGAGUUUUUAGCCAUUGGAUGGAGAGAUGUGGGGUUGAGAUGAUGGUGGUAGGUGAUGGUAGGUGGUAAUAAAUGGUGGUAGGUGGAAUAGUGUUAGAUCCAAAGGCUAUUAGUAAUCAAGGAGUAGAUCCAAUGGCUAAAAUCUCAAAAGCACCAAUGGGUUGGUGCUUUUGAGAGUAUUCUAGUCCAACUCUCUCUCUCUCUCUCUCUCUCUCUC